UCUAAAUUGAUAAUUUUUUUUUUGUUGGUUUGUAUUUUUGUGCCUGAAAGUUUCACCAACGAAAUCCGUAUGCAGCCUCAACAUAUCGAAUCGAAUCGAAUUAUUUUCUCAUUUCCCCCCACCCACCAAGUGGCACACGCUCUCCGUCUCCCUCUCUCGCUGUGUAAUAUUCCCAUUCGAGAGAAGCUUUUAGUGAGCAAAAGUUGGCGUUGCGGUCGCUAAAGUUGAAGCUGAAAGAGAAUCGGUUUAUAAUGCCUCUGGUGACCUUGAUCCGUGCACCAACAAAGUUUCCGCUUUCUUCGUCGCUAACACACAGUUCAGUCUCCCUCUCCCUCUCCCUCUCUCUCGCUAUCUUUUGGC
rnacentral:lncRNA from 1 species